UUUCCGUAGGUGAACCUGCGGAAGGAUCAUUAAAAAAUUGGAUUCCAUUGGUGAGUUCAUUAAUAAUCCCUACCCUUUGUGAAUUUGUUUGUUUGAAUAAUUUUUUUUCCAAAAAAGAUUAUUGAAUGUCUUUCCUUGUUUUGGUGGAGCUUGUAAAGUGAAACCAGGCAGGGGAAUGGCAAACAAUAAUUAUUUUUGAAAAAGACCUUUUUUUAAAAUUAAACUUUUUGUAUUCAUUUGUCUAAAAUUAAUUUUUAUAAUAUAAAAACAACUUUUGACAAUGGAUCUCUUGGUUCUCGCAACGAUGAAGAACGCAGCAAAAUGCGAUAAGUAGUGUGAAUUGCAGAAUACGUGAAUCAUCGAAUCUUCGAACGCAUAUUGCACUUUUUUAGUUUACUAAAAAAGUAUGUCUGUUCGAGUAUCAGUAAAAUAUUCUCAUAAAAAACAUUGUUUUUUUUAUGGUUAUGAGUGUUUUACAACGAUAACAAGUUGUUUCACUUUAAAUUCUUUGUUAUCAAAAAAAUCAUUAAAAGCUAAUUUUAAAGAUUUUUUAGAAUUGGAUAAAAUUUUCCCGUAAAAAGGAAUAACCUAAACAAUUUUAAAAAAUUAAAAUUGGUUUGAUUUUUUUUGAAACCCAAAGGAAAAAAAAACGAAAUUAACUUGAUCUCAAAUCAGAUAAGAGUACCCGCUGAACUUAAGCAUAUCAAUAAGCGGAGGAAAAGAAACUAACUAGGAUUCCCUCAGUAACGGCGAGUGAAGCGGGAAGAGCUCAAAUUUGAAAUCUUCAAGGUUUUACCUUGACGAAUUGUAGUUUAAAGAAGUGUUUUCUGUUGGAGUUUUGGUAAAAGUUCUUGGAAAAGGACAUCAUAGAGGGUGAGAAUCCCGUAUUUGACCAUUAUCUCCAGCUUUGUGAUACACUUUCAAAGAGUCGGAUUGUUUGGGAAUGCAGUCCAAAAUGGGUGGUAAAUUUCAUCUAAAGCUAAAUACUGGCGAGAGACCGAUAGCGAACAAGUACCGUGAGGGAAAGAUGAAAAGAACUUUGAAAAGAGAGUUAAACAGUACGUGAAAUUGUCAAAAGGGAAGCGUUUGACACCAGUGUUGUUUUCUCGAAAAUCAAUUAAAAAAGGCCGGAUUUUGUGUUGUAUUGACUUUAUCAGCUUUCUGCACUCUUUUCUUGUCUUUUUUAAUGCACUUUUCGUUUAACAAGUCAACAUCAAUUUCUUUUGUUGUAAAAGGGUCAUUGGAAGGUGGCUUUCUUUUCGGAGAAAGUGUUUAUAGCCUUUGGCCUCUGCAAUCGGAGAGAUUGAGGUCUGCAGCGUAGAUCCUUCGGGGUUAGAUACAUUUGUGCUAAGUUAUAGCCUUUCAUAGACAACUUGUUGACUAUGAUCAGUCAUGUAGCUUACUCGCUUAUGCUAUUUUACCUACGCUUAGGAUGUUG
rnacentral:misc_RNA from 1 species